rnacentral:rRNA from 1 species
UACAGAGGAUCCAAGCGUUAUCCGGAAUCAUUGGGUUUAAAGGGUCCGUAGGCGGUUUAGUAAGUCAGUGGUGAAAGCCCAUCGCUCAACGGUGGAACGGCCAUUGAUACUGCUGAACUUGAAUUAUUAGGAAGUAACUAGAAUAUGUAGUGUAGCGGUGAAAUGCUUAGAUAUUACAUGGAAUACCAAUUGCGAAGGCAGGUUACUACUAAUGGAUUGACGCUGAUGGACGAAAGCGUGGGGAGCGAACAGG